CUGCUCAUUUUGGCAGCACAUAUACUAAAAUUGCAACUAUACAAAGAUUAGCAUGGCACAUCUGUAAGGAUGACCCACAAACUUGUGAAGCAUUCCAUAUGAAA
ensembl:snRNA U6 U6 spliceosomal RNA